GAAGCUAUGGUGACAACUAAAACAUAAGGACUCAAUGUAACAAGUUAGAACGAUAUACCAGAACGUAUUAGAUGUCAAUCGAUGCAAUUGUGUUGUCAUCGGUCGCGGCAGGUGAUGUUCUGUCGAUCGAUGUCGACAGUGUUUCUUCGGUCGAUACUCAUGGCAAUCGUCUACUCGGAUCUUUUUUAUUUUUUUUCUUUUUAUGACCUGCAAUAAUUAAAAACUAACAUAAGUACUAAACUAAUAAAAACCAAUUAGAUAUUACCUAAUAGUGGGUUGCCUCCCACUCAGUGCUUUGUUAUAGUCAUUUAGCUUGACUAUGGAGGUGAUUUGGCUACUAAUGUGGAAAUCUAGGACUUGCUGGGACGUAAGUUUUCAUCUCCUCUAUGCGCUUGUUGAGCCAUGUACCAGUGAAGUCUCGCAUUGCUUCAUCUCCUCUGCGCCAUUUGUCCUUCAUUGUUACAGUUUCAUUCUCUAUCUUCAGCAGUCUUUC
rnacentral:lncRNA from 1 species